AUGCCCUCGCCCGCCUUCGCCGGCGUGCAGUACCUUCCAUACAACUACUCACCGCCCGCGUUCGCGUCCUCCCCGACGCCCCCUCUUCGCCGUUGCGCGCUACCCUUCUCUCACCUCGGCGGCGCCGACGAGACCGAGGCCGACAUGGACGAGAUCAUCGCGGAAGGUUCGGCCGCGGCCGCCGCGUCUCCCGGGUUCACCGCGGACGAGACAGUGAAUCUCACCAGCGGCAUGGAGGGCGAGCUCGGCUACAUCUACGGCGACGAGGAACAGGAGAAGCAGGACGAGGAAGACGAGGAGGACGAGGAGGAGCCGGCGAGGGGGCGCAAGAAGAAGAAGGCGCCGGCCAGGCCAGAGCCGCGCAUCAAGUGGGCGUCCAAAGAGGAGGAAUGCCUCGCCGAAGUAUGGAAAGUCGUCUUCCUCGACCCGACCACAGGCGCGAACCAGAGCCUCGAGACGUACUGGGCGCGCAUCAAGGCCGAGUUCGACGAGCGCAAGCUCGUCGACCCCUACUUCAAAGGCGUCUACAUGCAGCGCAGGGCGAAGGCGAUGGCGAACCAUUGGGGGCGUAUCCAGGGGGCGUGCAACAAAUGGCAUGGGAUCGUCGAGGAGGUCGCCGGUCGCCCGGAGAGCGGCGCCAGCAUGGAGGAUCGGGUAUGCCACGCCGCUCUCCCGCCUCUUUUCGCCGUUCACAAGCCAACUGUUGGUUCGUCCCCGCGCAGUUGCUGCGCAUGUUCGGCCUGUAUCGUCAGGGCAACAGCGACGCCGAGUUCAAGUACCUCCACGUCUACAAGCGCAUCCACACGUGCGACAAGUGGGCGGAAGUCCGGCGCACCAUCGAGAAGGCCAAGGAGACCUACAAGCCUGACGCGCCGACUCCGGGCGCGUCAGAUGGGUGGCCGGAUGGCAACAAAGGUGCCAAGAAGGGGAAACACGCCGACGCGGCCACAGCUCGCGUGCAGGAGUCCAUCCAGCACUGCCUCACCGACGCACAGGUCCGGGCCGCCCUUCGUGAAGAUAAGACCGAGGCACGUUGGUCGGCGUUGA
rnacentral:rRNA from 1 species